rnacentral:sRNA from 1 species
UGAUAUAAACUGUUGUUCGCAAAUGGC